GGGAAACAUGCAGCAAGAAACUAAAAUUGAAAUGGAUCUUCUGAGGAAAUGUAUUUGACAAAGCAUAAGGAGAAGCUAAAAUCUAAUAUAACGACAAUCACAGCAAAUCAACAAUCAAGGAUAAUAGGCAAAUUGUGGAAUAUUUUCUUCAGAAACGUGUUUUGCUGAUAUAUUUUUGUUCCAGAAUAAUUCAACAAAAAAUAUACUUAUAGCAAAGACUAUUGAAAAAGUGUAUGUCAAAAUGACCCCAUAAAUAUUAGAAAA